GCCGGGGUGGUGAAACUGGUAGACGCGCUGGAUUCAAAAUCCAGUUCCUUCGGGAGUGUCGGUUCGAUUCCGACCCUCGGUACCA
rnacentral:tRNA from 1 species